UUGACCUCGGAUCAGGUAGGAAUACCCGCUGAACUUAAGCAUAUCAAUAAGGCGGAGGAAUGAGCACUUGUUUCCCUG
rnacentral:rRNA from 1 species